AUAAUCUCGUGAGGUAAGUGGGAAGAUCGAUCCACUUAAUGGAUGAGAAAAGUCUCACAGAAUUAGCCUAAGAUAUCACAGCAAACAAGUGGGAAAGCCUGAAUUUGAGCCAGGUCUCCAGAUUUCAGAUUCAGGUCAACACCUGCCCUGUGUGACCUGCACAGGAAGUUGAGGGUUGCAGGGCCAGAGACCCUGAAGCUGCUGAGAGGCGAAGCUGAGCAAGGCCUUUUUUUUUUCAAGAUGGAAUCUCGUUGUUGCCAGGCUGGAGUGCAGUGGUAUGAUCUCGGCUCACUGCAACCUCCACCUCCUGGGUUCAAGCGAUUCUCCUGCCUCAGCCUCCUGAGUAGCUAUCACUACAGGUGUGUGCCACUACACCCAGCUAAUUUUUUUUUUUUUUUGUAUUUUUAGCAGAGAUGGAGCUUCACCAUGUUGGUCGGCCUGGUCUCGAACACCUGAUCUCAGGUGAAGCUGUCAGACUUCGGGUUCUGUGCCCAGGUGAGCAAAGAAGUGCCCUGGAGGAAGUUGCUGGUCGACAAACCCUACUGGAUGGCCCCAGAGCUCAUCUCCCGCCUUCCCUAUGGGCCAGAGGUGAGCCCCAGGGUGGCUUGGUUGUCCUGCUGUUGGCAGCUCUAGUCCAGCUGCAGUGCUGGCGGGAGGUGGGGCUCAGCCUGGGGAGUGGUUGCCAGGAAUGGUGCUCUGGAUGAGGAGGUACUGCAGGCAUGCAUAUGUUCAUGAAUUCAUUCAUUCUUUAUUUUCUUUCUUUUUGAAAUGGAGUCUUGCUCUGUUGCCCAGGCUGGAGUGCAGUGGUGUAAUCUCAGCUCACUGCAACCUCUGCCUCCCUGGUUUCAAGUGAUUCUCUUACCUCAGCCUCCUGAGUAGCUGGGAUUACAGGUGCCCACCACCAUGCCCAGCUAAUUUUUGUAUUUUUAGUAGAGACGGGGUUUCACCAUGUUGGCCAGGCUGGUCUCCAACUCCUGACCUCAGGUGAUCUUCCUGCCUUGGCCUCCCAAAGUGCUGGGAUUACAACCAUGAGCCACUGCUUCCAACCUUGGCUCUGAUUUCUGAGUGAUGUCUUCAGGCAGGCCGCUUUCCCUUUGUGGGAGCAGAGCCCACCCCAGCAGUUAUGGGAAAUGUCUCCUGCCUAUGGGCUCCCCUCUUUCCAUGGCUGUUUUGGGUAAAGUCCCCAGCUUGGCUCAUAAAGCCUGAGCAGGUGCACACUGCCUUGCUUUGACAGGAUAAAGCAAGAAGUGAGCCCACCCUGGAUCCUGAGGCUCUGAGCUUGAUGGAGCCCAGAGUUCCCUCCAGGCCGCUUCCUUCACAGAUCUUGAAGCUGAGGUCAAGACGAAGCAGGGGCAGAUCCCGGGUGCUCCCCAGGCAAAGAGAGCUGAUCUCGGGGCUGGGGUCACAAGCCUCCUCUCCUGCCACGUUUAGGGCCCUAGAGCCAGGGAGGAUGAGAGACCAGAGGCCUUUAGUUCACCCCUGGGGCUGGACAGAGGCUCAGCCUGUGCCGCAUCCCGAAGCUGUUCUGGCCAGUCUGAGCCACGGCCCCUUUAAGAGGGGGUGGUGCUUCAGCUUGAGGCCAGGGUCGCUGCCUGCGUGCGUGCCCUACGGAAGCCAAGACUGCGCUUCCUGCGAGGAUCCGGCGUUAGCCGUGGCUUGGCUGGAGGGAGUCAGCAGAGGCCGCGGUCCCCCUGGUCGGAGGGCGUCAGCAGAGGCGGUGGCAGCACCCCCCAUCACGCUGAGGGAGUCAGCAGGGGUGGCGGCGGCCCCCUGUGCCGGAGGGAGUCAGCAGAGGGGGCGGCGCCCUCCCCCCCUCCACCCAGCCAGAGGGAGUCAGCAGAAGCGGGGGCGUGGUCAGAGCGAGUUUCUUCGGAGAAGCCGAGGUGGCUUCCACGUGUUGGUGGAGGAGGAGGCAGAUCUCUGCGAUUCUUCUAAAUACUUGGGCCUACCUGCUCCAAGCUAGCUUAGAGGAGGAAGAGUAGUCUCCUGCCACCCAUGCUGGAGGCUGGAGCCUGCAGUAUUGCCUCGCCUCACUGUUGUGGUUGGUGGCAGUGACUGAGACUACAGCGCAACUGGAAAGGCUUUUCUGGCUUUGCCCUCCUAGCUGCUCAAUGCCAUGAGAAGGAAGAGCCAUCUGCUGCAUGCCGGAGGCUGGAGCCUGUGGCACCAUGGCUCACCUCGCUGCAGUGGGUGGCAGCAAUGGAGACUGCAGAGCGCCAGAGAGGUUGGCCUUGAACUCAUGGCCUCGCCUCCUCAAGCACCAGGACAACUGGCCAGAGCCACCAUGGCCCCCAAGGAAGUCUUUUUUAAAAAAAAUGCAGUUGUAAUGGCUGGAGUUCCAGCAGCCACUUUAGACCAUAACAUGGAAAUGAAGCAUUAAGGAUGGCAAAGCAAAAAGCUAAAAGCCUGAGACACGAUGACCAUGGGGCUGCCAUCCUACCCCAGGACUGUCUCCCUUCAGACAUCUUUUAUGUGAGAAAAGAAUAAAGCCACUAUUAUCUUUUGUUUUACUUACACAGCUGAACCAAAUUCUAAUGAAUCCAUAUAGGUUCAUCCUGAGCAGAUGAUGCUCAGAGCAAGAUGGAGCUCAGAGUGAUUGGAGCACUGAGCAAGAUGGAGCUCAGAGCAGAUGGAACUCUGAGCAAGAUGGAGCUCUGAGUAUAUGGAGCUUGGAGCAACAUGGAGCUUGGAGCAGAUGGAGCUCUGAGCAAGAUGGAGCUCUGAGUAGAUGGAGCUUGGAGCAAGAUAGAGCUCAGAGCAGAUGGAGCUCUGAGCAAGAUGGAGCUUGGAGCAGAUGGAGCUUGGAGCAGAUGGAGCUCUGAGCAACAUGGAGCUCUGAGCAGAUGGAGCUCGGAGCAAGAUGGAGCUCAGAGCAGAUGGAGCUUGGAGCAGAUGGAGCUCAGAGCAAGAUGGAGCUCGGAGCAAGAUAGAGCUCAGAGCAGAUGGAGCUCAGAGCAGAUGGAGCUCUGAGCAAGAUGGAGCUCUGAGCAGAUGGAGCUCAGAGCAGAUGGAGCUCUGAGCAAGAUGGAGUUAAGAGCAGAUGGAGCUCUGAGCAAGUUAAAGCUCAGAGCAGAUGGAGCUCUGAGCAAGAUGGAGCUUGGAGCAGAUGGAGCUCUGAGCAAGUUAAAGCUCAGAGCAGAUGGAGCUCUGAGCAAGAUGGAGCUUGGAGCAGAUGGAGCUCUGAGCAAGAUGGAGCUUGGAGCAGAUGGAGCUCUGAGCAAGUUAAAGCUCAGAGCAGAUGGAGCCCUGAGCAAGAUGGAGCUCAGAGCAGAUGGAGCUCUGAGCAAGAUGGAGCUAAGAGCAAGAUGGAGCUAAGAGCAGAUGGAGCUCUGAGCAAGAUGGAGCUCUGAGCAAGGUGAAGCUCGGAGCAGAUGGAGCUCAGAGCAGAUGGAGCUCUGAGCAGGUUAAAGCUCAGAGCAGAUGGGGCUUGGAGCAAGGUGGAGCUCAGAGCAAGAUGGAGCUCUGAGCAAGAUAGAGCUCUGAGCAAGAUGGGGCUCAGAGCAAGAUGGAGCUCGGAGCAAGAUGGAGCUCGGAGCAGAUGGAGCUCUGAGCAGAUGGAGCUCUGAGCAAGAUAGAGCUCAGAGCAGAUGGAGCCCUGAGCAAGAUGUAGCUCAAAGCAGAUGGGGCUUCAAUCAGAUGGUACUCAGAGCAAGAUGGAGCUUGGAGUAAUUGGAGUUUGAAACCAGAUGGAGCUCGGAGCAGAUAGAUCUCUGAUCAACAAGGAGUUUCAAGCAAGGUGGAGCUUGGAGCAGAUGUUGCUGGUAUAAGAUACACCUCAGAGCAGAUGUUGCUGGUGGGGUGGCAUAGGGAGGUUCGACCCCGGCAAAUCAGGCAGAGGUGCCCCUUGCUCCCUGCAACACCGCCCGGGUCCUGGGGCCACAAUGAACAUGAGCAGAGGGUGUGAGCAAGAGGCAGGGGACCUGGCCUGGGACCCCAGCCCAAAGCUGGGAAGUCGCCUAUCCCUGUGUGGGCGUGGACACUGGGGACUCUGGCUUUUCCAGCGGUUCGGCCACUUGAUUAGGUUUAUGCUCUGUGGGUGGUGGGGGGAUGGAGUGUUGGGAGGAUUGGCCCACCUGUAGGACUGGAGCUGCGGUAGAUAGGUGCUCUCCUUUCCAUUUCUCCUGGGAAGACAUCCAAGAACUGUUUUAUUACAAGGGGAGUUUGGAAAACAUAGCUCACCUUCUGCUGUGUAUUAGCCAAGAACAAGGUGUGAAGUAACUUCCCGAUUAUUGGGGAUCCCUUUGUCCCUUCUUGAGAUUAGAUAUCUUCAUCAGUGAGGUUUUGCCUGGAUGACCUCAGCACAAUUGGUACGAAACCUGAGCCAACUGUUUCCUACUUUCCUGGUUGUUGUCUUAAGCUUCUCUCCCAUAAGGUACCUUCCUAUCCUUUUUAUAACCUAAAUUAUCGCCUGAACUGUUUCAACUCCUACAGCUCUGGACAAGCUGCUUUUCAUUUGAUGGGUCCAUCCAAUCCCUGCACUUGCCCUGUUUUUCUCUAACCAGAUCUUUGGCCGCUUCUGCAGUCUUUGGGUAAAUGCUUGGGAGAAUCAUUUAAAGAUAUUUAUUCUGCCAUCAUGGCCCUAGUACCUCAGGGGGCAGUAAGAUGGCUUUUUAAGACUGGUCUAAUCAGAUCCUGAUUUCUUUUCCCUUCCUAGGUUUUGAAACAUGAAUCCUUCACUCCUCCUGGCUGCCUUUUGCCUGGGAAUUGCCUCAGCUGCUCUAACACAUGAUCACAUAUUAGAUGCACAAUGGCACAGGUGGAAGGCAAAGCACAAGAGAUUAUAUGGCACUGGUGGCACCUGAAACUGUUUAGGGGAACCCCAGAGCGAUGGGCCUUGCUAUUGGGAUCAUAUGGCUAGAGAGUAACUUCUAGAGGCUAGCUCUUACCAAUAACUUAAUGGCAACAAUUAUGAGCAUGAUAUGGGUAUACAUCCCUGUUGUGUCUCAGCUUGGAGAAUAGCUUCCAAAAGUGUCAAGCCUUCCCUUGCCAUGGUUUCUCUUCCAUCUCUGUCUGCAGAUUUACUUGAUGAGCACAGGUUGGCUUUUAGAUAGAAAUAAAGAGCAUCAGUUACAUGUUUGCCUCCAGAAUGAAGAAAAAUGGAGGACAGCAGUGUGGGAGACGAACGUGAAGAUGACGGAGCAGCACAACCAGGAAUACAGGCAAGGGAAACAGCUGCACAAUGGCCAUCUAAUGGCACUGGCUUUGUGGACAUCCCUUCAUGGGAGAACCUGACGAAGGCACUGGCAACUGUGGGGCCCAUCUCUGUUGCUGUUGAUGCAAGCCAUGUCUCCUUUCAGUUCUAUAGAAAAGGCAUCUAUUUUGAGUGACCCUAAAGACCUGGAUCAUACUAUACUGGUGGCUGGCUACGGCUAUGAAGGGCAGAGUCGGAUAACAACGAAUAUUGGCUGGUGAGGAACAGCUGGCGUAAACACUGGGGCAUGGAUGGCUACAUAAAGAUGGCCAAAGACCAGAGGAGCAACUGUGGAAUUGCCACAGCAGCCAACUACCUCACUGUGUGAGCUGAUGGAUGGUGAUGAGGGGACUCUACUGCGGAUGGCACAUCCAGAGGAGGAAUUUAUCUUCUGUCUAUCAGCCCCUCCUGCGUGGGAUGCACACUUCAGUCACACAUUGAAGCUGAAAAAGAAAUUUGAACAUAGACUCGUACAGAGGAAAGAUGAAGUGAGAACAGACAUCUAAGCCACAGAAUGAGGCCCUUCCCUCACAACUCUCAGAACCAAACCUGUUGACAUCCCUUUUUUUUUUUAAAUGAGACAGAGUCUCACACUGUCACCCAGGCUGGAGUGCAGUAACGUGAUCUCGGCUCACUGCAAUCUCCACCUCCCAGGUUCAACUGAUUCUCCUGCCUCAGCCUUCCAAGCAGCUGGGAUUAUAGGGGCCUACCAUCAUGCCCGGAUAACUUAUGUAUUUUUAGUAGAGAUGGGGUUUCACCAUGUUGGCCAGGCUGGUUUUGAACUCCUAGCCUCAAGUGAUCACUCACCUUGGCCUUCCAAAGUGUUGGGAUUACAGGCAUGAGCCACCGUGCCUGGCCCCUGUUGACAUCUUGAUCUCAGACUUCUGGGUUUCAGAAUGGUGGGAAAAUAAAUUGGUGUUUAAUCUA